rnacentral:rRNA from 1 species
GACGAACGCUGGCGGCGUGCUUAACACAUGCAAGUCGAACGAAGUGGCGAACGGGUGAGUAACGCGUAAUCAACCUGCCCUUCAGAGGGGUACCACAGUUGGAAACGACUGCUAAUACCGCAUACUGAAGGAGGGGAUUGCGUCUGAUUAGCUAGUUGGAGGGGUAACGGCCCAACAAGGCGAUGAUCAGUAGCCGGUCUGAGAGGAUGAACGGCAACAUGGGGACUGGAAAACGGCCCAGACUCCUACGGGAGGCAGCAGUGGGGAAUCUUCCGCAAUGGACGAAAGUCUGACGGAGCAACGCCGCGUGAGGGAUGACGGCCUUCGGGUUGUAAAGCUCUGUUAAUCGGGACGCGGUACCGGAAUAGAAAGCCACGGCUAACUACGUGCCAGCAGCCGCGGUAAUUC